rnacentral:rRNA from 1 species
CUACGGGUUGCUGCAGUCAAGAAUCUUCCGCAAUGCACGAAAGUGUGACGGAGCAAUGCCGCGUGCUCGAAGAAGGCCCUCGGGUCGUAAAGAGCUUUUAUAAGGGAAGAACAAAUGACGGUACCUUAUGAAUAAGGGGCUGCUAAUCACGUGCCAGCAGCAGCGGUAAUACGUGAGCCCCGAGCGUUAUCCGGAUUUAUUGGGCGUAAAGGGUCCGUAGGUGGUUUCGUAAGUCAUAUGUUAAAUCUUCAGGCUCAACCUGGAGGCUGCGUGUGAUACUGCGAGACUAGAGGAUGGGAGAGGCAGAUGGAAUUGCUGGUGUAGCGGUAAUAUGCGUUAAUAUCAGCAAGAACACCAAAGGCGAAGGCAAUCUGCUGGAACAUUCCUGACACUGAGGGACGAAAGCGUGGGUAGCGAAUGGGAUUAGAUACCCCAGUAGUC